rnacentral:rRNA from 1 species
GAUGAACGCUGGCGGCGUGCCUAAUACAUGCCAGUCGAGCGAACAGACGAGGAGCUUGCUCCUCUGACGUUAGCGGCGGACGGGUGAGUAACACGUGGAUAACCUACCUAUAAGACUGGGAUAACUUCGGGAAACCGGAGCUAAUACCGGAUAAUAUAUUGAACCGCAUGGUUCAAUAGUGAAAGACGGUUUUGCUGUCACUUAUAGAUGGAUCCGCGCCGCAUUAGCUAGUUGGUAAGGUAACGGCUUACCAAGGCAACGAUGCGUAGCCGACCUGAGAGGGUGAUCGGCCACACUGGAACUGAGAACCGGUCCAGACUCCUACGGGAGGCAGCAGUAGGGAAUCUUCCGCAAUGGGCGAAAGCCUGACGGAGCAACGCCGCGUGAGUGAUGAAGGUCUUCGGAUCGUAAAACUCUGUUAUUAGGGAAGAACAAAUGUGUAAGUAACUAUGCACGUCUUGACGGUACCUAAUCAGAAAGCCACGGCUAACUACGUG